GUGUUGCUAUGCUUGGUUUUGCAGUGAGUUCAUCUUUUUCUUUCUCAUUUUUGUCUAUAUUUCAGAAAAUUACAGUUAACUUUACUCAAUUUUAAUAGUCUUUGAUGUAUAUGCAAUCUACCACUGCUGUUGAGAUAGGAGUUGGUACAUUUUCAGCCAUUUGAGAAAUAGAGAAACAAAUGAAAAAAAGAAUGUGAUUAUUCAUAAUUUUUCUAUGGUGAUUGCAAACAAAAAUCUGCAGGCAUCCUUGUUGGGUGAAG
rnacentral:misc_RNA from 1 species